UACGUAGGGGCGAGCGUUGUCCGGAAUGACUGGGCGUAAAGGGCGUGUAGGCGGCCUGUUAAGUCUGGAGUGAAAGUCCUGCUUUCAAGGUGGGAAUUGCUUUGGAGACUGGCGGGCUUGAGUGCGGAAGAGGUAAGUGGAAUUCCCAGUGUAGCGGUGAAAUGCGUAGAGAUUGGGAGGAACACCAGUGGCGAAGGCGACUUACUGGGCCGUAACUGACGCUGAGGCGCGAAAGCGUGGGGAGCGAACAGGAUUAGAUACCCUGGUAGUCCCUGA
rnacentral:rRNA from 1 species